CCUGUAAGAUGAAUCUUCUGCGAAACAGGAACUGAAAUUAACAAAGACCCCGCUAAUAUUAGAGAAAAGUGAGCGGGUAUGUAGUUAGUUAAGCUGUAUUAGUUUUUAGCAAUGUAAAAAAUAAACUAAUCCGUUAAACGGGACCUUAGUAAGUGAUAGUCUUGUAUUUUCGUUGUUUUAGCUUAAUAAUAUCUUUAACUUUUAAAGUUUUGGAAAAGCUCCUCCUUUGUUGCUACAAGACGUAAAGCAUGAUCCAUAGAGAAUUAGUACUGUGAAGGAACACAAAUAACCUUGUAAGGUUAAUCUUUUAUUAUAAAACGAAAACUAAACCUAAAGCAAGUCGCUGUUUUCUUUUUUGUCAAAACGUACCUUUGGUAUAAUGGUUCUGUGAGUUUUUU
rnacentral:rRNA from 14 species